GGGGCACUCUGACAGAAUAGCGCCUGACAUGGAAGUGCGGGUGGAGCAAACGGAUGGAACUGAAUUCCUCCACGUGGAAAAUAUUUCAUCCACUGGCAUUCAUUGAUGUUUGUGAAAGUUUCUGAAGACUGAACAGUGGGUGUCAGCAUUGUGAAGGGGGGUGGCACGUUUCAGCAGUGGCAGCAGUGACAGUGGUCGUCUCCACUAGUGCAGUUUUCAAUGAACGUGAACCAGCUGGUCCUUGGGACGGCUUUUCUCAACAGUACAAAACUGUGGAAAUGCCACCCUCAGCUCUACUUUCUAUCAGCACAACAGGAACACUGAAAGUAUCCGGUGUUGUAACAUGGACCCAGCAGAACACAAUGAAUUUUGCUACGAGCUUGGAUGCAAUGAAAAUCAUUUAAACACAAAUCUUGAAUUUUCCUGCAGAGCAAGAUAUGAUGCAGCCUAGCUUGUCCACCUCAGAUUCUUACAUAAGAAGGCAAAUUGGAGAUGAGUUUGCAUGGUCAUGUCGUGAUUCUCAUCUCAAGAAUUUAAGGUUCCCCCACCUUUUCUGGCACAGAGGGGAGAUAAUGGGAGCAGUUGGGGUGUAUGUCCACUAGCUGCUGUCAGCUCCUACCUUCUUCUCCAGGCAGCCAGCUUUCUUGGAAGGCAUUGGUUCUGAGACAGCUGC
ensembl:lncRNA